rnacentral:rRNA from 1 species
GGGGGGAUCUUGGUCAAUGGGGGAAACCCUGAACCAGCGACGCCGCGUGAGGGAAGAAGGGCUUUGGCCUGUAAACCUCUUUUGCCAGGGAAGAAGAGUGAGGGGAUGAGAGUCUUCUUGCUUUGACGGUACCUGGCGAAUAAGCCCCGGCUAACUACGUGCCAGCAGCCGCGGUAAUACGUAGGGGGCGAGCGUUGUCCGGAUUUACUGGGCGUAAAGAGCGCGUAGGCGGUCCUUUAAGUUGGCUGUGAAAUCUCUGGGCCCAACCCAGAGGGGUCGGCCGAGACUGGAGGGCUUGAGGGUGGUAGAGGAAGGUGGAAUACCGGGUGUAGUGGUGAAAUGCGUAGAGAUCCGGUGGAACACCAGUGGCGAAGGCGGCCUUCUGGGCCACACCUGACGCUGAGGCGCGAAAGCGUGGGGAGCGAACCGAAUUAGAUACUCGGGUAGUCCACGCCCUAAACGAUGGACGCUAGGUGUCGGGGGUAUCGACCCCCCGGUGCCCGAGCGAACGCAGUAAGCGUCCCGCCU